AUGAACGCUAGCUACAGGCUUAACACAUGCAAGUCGAGGGGCAGCAUGGUCUUAGCUUGCUAAGGCCGAUGGCGACCGGCGCACGGGUGAGUAACACGUAUCCAACCUGCCGUCUACUCUUGGACAGCCUUCUGAAAGGAAGAUUAAUACAAGAUGGCAUCAUGAGUCCGCAUGUUCACAUGAUUAAAGGUAUUCCGGUAGACGAUGGGGAUGCGUUCCAUUAGAUAGUAGGCGGGGUAACGGCCCACCUAGUCUUCGAUGGAUAGGGGUUCUGAGAGGAAGGUCCCCCACAUUGGAACUGAGACACGGUCCAAACUCCUACGGGAGGCAGCAGUGAGGAAUAUUGGUCAAUGGGCGAGAGCCUGAACCAGCCAAGUAGCGUGAAGGAUGACUGCCCUAUGGGUUGUAAACUUCUUUUAUAAAGGAAUAAAGUCGGGUAUGGAUACCCGUUUGCAUGUACUUUAUGAAUAAGGAUCGGCUAACUCCGUGCCAGCAGCCGCGGUAAUACGGAGGAUCCGAGCGUUAUCCGGAUUUAUUGGGUUUAAAGGGAGCGUAGAUGGAUGUUUAAGUCAGUUGUGAAAGUUUGCGGCUCAACCGUAAAAUUGCAGUUGAUACUGGAUAUCUUGAGUGCAGUUGAGGCAGGCGGAAUUCGUGGUGUAGCGGUGAAAUGCUUAGAUAUCACGAAGAACUCCGAUUGCGAAGGCAGCCUGCUAAGCUGCAACUGACAUUGAGGCUCGAAAGUGUGGGUAUCAAACAGGAUUAGAUACCCUGGUAGUCCACACGGUAAACGAUGAAUACUCGCUGUUUGCGAUAUACGGCAAGCGGCCAAGCGAAAGCGUUAAGUAUUCCACCUGGGGAGUACGCCGGCAACGGUGAAACUCAAAGGAAUUGACGGGGGCCCGCACAAGCGGAGGAACAUGUGGUUUAAUUCGAUGAUACGCGAGGAACCUUACCCGGGCUUAAAUUGCAGAUGAAUUACGGUGAAAGCCGUAAGCCGCAAGGCAUCUGUGAAGGUGCUGCAUGGUUGUCGUCAGCUCGUGCCGUGAGGUGUCGGCUUAAGUGCCAUAACGAGCGCAACCCUUGUUGUCAGUUACUAACAGGUUCUGCUGAGGACUCUGACAAGACUGCCAUCGUAAGAUGUGAGGAAGGUGGGGAUGACGUCAAAUCAGCACGGCCCUUACGUCCGGGGCUACACACGUGUUACAAUGGGGGGUACAGAGGGCCGCUACCACGCGAGUGGAUGCCAAUCCCCAAAAUCUCUCUCAGUUCGGACUGGAGUCUGCAACCCGACUCCACGAAGCUGGAUUCGCUAGUAAUCGCGCAUCAGCCACGGCGCGGUGAAUACGUUCCCGGGCCUUGUACACACCGCCCGUCAAGCCAUGGGAGCCGGGGGUACCUGAAGUGCGUAACCGCGAGGAGCGCCCUAGGGUAAAACUGGUGACUGGGGCU
rnacentral:rRNA from 1 species